GGGGCAGUAGCUCAGCUGGAUAGAGCAUCGGAUUUCUAAUCCGAGGGUCGGGGGUUCGAGUCCCUCCUGCCCUGCCA
rnacentral:tRNA from 1 species